rnacentral:lncRNA from 1 species
CACCUAUAAAAUAUGAUAUGUAUAAUUAUGGUUGUGUGGGCUCUGGGCCAAGAGUGAGAGGCACAGGAACAGACUGCUCCAAGACGCAGUGUCACAACGGGAUUGGCAAAGAGAGAUCGGGAGACAGCAUAGGCCUGAGUUGCUACAGCAAUCUGACGAAAUGCCGUGGAAAAAAAGCAAUGUUGCAAGUCAGACAGAGCACUGGAAAGCAGCAGAAGAUGAUGAACUGUUCAGACUGAGACAGUUGUGCUAAAAAUAUUUUUUUGGUUUGGUGAGAGUGGGAAAAAGAUGAAGAGAUGGGAGUAAUUUUGGCUUCAUUUUUUUUUUUUGCUGAAAGAGAGAUCCUGCAAAUCUGCGCUGGUUUGAACAAUACACUCCUUUUUGCUUUCAGACUAUUUAAAAUUAAAUUUAGUUUGAAAGCAUAGUUUGGAGUGAGAGGGUGAACUCUUGUGUUGAAAACGUCAAAAAGAAAAAGAAAAUGCCAUCAUGAGUAAAUGGCGAGGUGGAGGCCUGAAACUGUUGGAAUUGAUGCAAAUUCAUGCCUAGUUUUACUGAGCUGCGUGAAAAAGCACAGUGACCUACAGAUCACAGGUCUGAAAUCUUUGUGUAUUGAGUUCAGAAUUAAAACAAUAGUUAUUAAGACAAAAUUAUUUCCAUCAUGAAGCCUGUUGCCUUCAGGGAAUAAUGCCAUUCUGCUUAUCCACCUUAAGAUACCCGAGCAGUCUUCUUUUCUGCCACCUAACCUGUGGGUCAGUGAGAGAGUUGAGUAAAACAGAUACUGAUAGACAAAAUAGGAGGGUAAUCUCUCCUUAUGUAAAGCAGUCAAGAUACGAAAUGUUGUGCCAUAGGUGACAUUUGUUGUUGUUGUACAAUAUAUUGUUGUUAAUUAUGGUCUGGCUGACAGGUUUUGUUUGGUUUUGGAGAGGGAUUGUUUUUUGUUUUGUUUUGUUGUUGAGAAGUGGUGGCUGGAAGCAAGCUAAGUCUUAGGCUGAAAGCACAAUAAGCCCUUGAGAAGAUGAGAAAUUUCUGACCUGGUGACAUGGGAGGAUGAAAGGGAAGUUGUGGAAGUUCACAUGUUUAAAUUUUCUUGGAUGAAAUCAACAAGGUCUUGUGCAAAGAAGACUGGUGGAAAGGCUUCAUGUUAGAUGCAGGGGCCAAACUGAGGGAGAUGGUGUCACUGGAAGAAGAGGGAACACUAGUCAUGUGGAAGAUCGUCUGUCCUUGCUACAGGAUUUCUCU